AUUUAUAAUACUUUAAGACAAGUUUUCAAUGAUGAGAUCUUACGAUAGGGACAUCUGAUGUCUAUGACUGAUUUAUCUUGAUAGUAGAACUGAUUAUACCAUUUCAAAGGUCUUCUGCAAACUCCUAUUUUAGAAGAUACUCCAAUAAUUCUUAAUCUAUUGUUAUUUCAGAGAAACUGGACAUUUCUAAUAGAAUGACUACAAAAAGAGGAUUUUCAAACAUUGUUUAUUCUUUCAAAUAAGACCCCUGACCACUGUCUUAGAUUGUCCAUUUGCCUUGGUUGUACGAUGAGGAAAAAAGGAUCUUCUGACGAUUUUAUUGCUUAAAAUCAAAAUUUUAUUUAAUUACCGUUAAUAAAUAAACUAAAUUUACUCUAAAAAAUAUUGUUUUAAUGCAAAUAAAUUUUCUUAAAAUACAAAUUUAUCGAAGCUUACAGAUGGAAUAAAUUAUGUGAUAUGAAUCAAAUUGUUUCGACCUUAUAAACAAAACAGGGUUGUAUAAUUGGGUCAAAGUCAAGUAAUAAAAACUAGUCUUUCCAAAAACUAGAACUUAUAUUUCCAAAACAAUAAACAAUUUUCCAAAAUAUUACAAUAUAUUUAAGAUAUUGAAACGAAGUAUGAGCGACUUUUUGUUCUGUUUAUUUUACUCGUACUUCCGGCUGAGUACUAAUACUCAUUAAGAGAAUGCUACCGGUGUUGGCGGAUUACGGAUCUCCAAAUGAUAUGUUUCAACAGGGUCUGGGAUGGUUUCUUUUUUCGAAUAUAUUGUCAAACUUUGUCAUGUGCAUACUAGUUGAUCCGGCCAUCGAUUCGAAGCGAAUGCGAAAUCAAUUGCAAAGCACAGUAAGGACUGGCACAGGUGCGACGAGUGCAUGAUUUGGGAUCCACCUGGAUCAAAGCACUGGAAGUCUUGCGAUAUUUGUGUCCUAAAGCGAGAUCAUGUAUCUUUUCCGGUUGCUGCAUCGGCCAUGAAAACUGU